rnacentral:rRNA from 1 species
CGUACACUCCUACGGGAGGCAGCAGUGAGGAAUAUUGGACAAUGGGUGGAAGCCUGAUCCAGCCAUCCCGCGUGCAGGAAGACGGCCCUAUGGGUUGUAAACUGCUUUUAUCUGGGGAUAAACCUACUUACGUGUAAGUAGCUGAAGGUACCAGAAGAAUAAGCACCGGCUAACUCCGUGCCAGCAGCCGCGGUAAUACGGAGGGUGCAAGCGUUAUCCGGAUUUAUUGGGUUUAAAGGGUCCGUAGGCGGACUGAUAAGUCAGUGGUGAAAUCCGACAGCUUAACUGUCGAACUGCCAUUGAUACUGUUAGUCUUGAGUAAGGUUGAAGUGGCUGGAAUAAGUAGUGUAGCGGUGAAAUGCAUAGAUAUUACUUAGAACACCAAUUGCGAAGGCAGGUCACUAAGUCUUAACUGACGCUGAUGGACGAAAGCGUGGGGAGCGAACAGGAUUAGAAACCCGUGUAGUCCCAUGA